AUUGGAUAGGUUGGGGGAGUGAGGGGUAUUGGAUAGGUUGGGGGAGUGAGGGGUAUUGGAUAGGUUGGGGGAGUGAGGGGUAUUGGAUAGGUUGGGGGAGUGAGGGGUAUUGGAUAGGUUGGGGAAGUGAGGGGUAUUGGAUAGGUUGUGGAAGUGCGGGGUAUUGAAUAGGUUGGGGGAGUGAGGGGUAUUGGAUAGGUUGUGGAAGUGCGGGGUAUUGAAUAGGUUGGGGGAGUGAGGGGUAUUGGAUAGGUUGUGGAAGUGUGGGGUAUUGAAUAGGUUGGGGAAGUGUGGGGUAUUGGAUAGGUUGUGGAAGUGCGGGGUAUUGAAUAGGUUGGGGAAGCGUGGGGGGAAGUGAUGAUGGGUAUUGAAUAGGUCGGGGAAGUGUGUGUUUUAUUCAAUCUUGCUCUGCCGAAUGUUUUUUUCACAGUCAUGUACUGGAAUGUUUAAAAAUACUAUUUUGAA
ensembl:lncRNA